GCGGGCUGUUGAGAGAGAAAGGAGGGUGUGUUGCUCUGAUCAGCAUCAUUACUUCUCUUUUAGCACUCUUUAGCACUUCUACGUAGCUACAUCACCUUACUCUUCUGAAGAUGGCUAGAAUAAAGAAGGGAGUGAAGCAGAGCCGACUGAACCUAAAAGCGGCAAGAGAAAAGAAGAAAAAGCAGACGCCGAGUGUUGAUGCCCGCGUGACCACAAGCAGUGAGUCACCACUACCACCACCACCCAGCAUGUCACCAUCACAACAUCCAGCGUGAAGAGGAAGAACCUUUUGACAAAAGAAUCUGAUAUACCAGUGGUAACACAAGAAAAUGUCUUUUUGAAGAAACAAAGCUUAGAAGAACUUGCAUCGAAUGUGUGCUGCCCUGAGUGUUUUGAGAAGAUGAAGUGCAUAUUCACGAGAAAACAUGCAGACAGUAGCUUCAAAAUUGUGUGUACAAAGUGUUCAUAUAUAGCAAAAGACACUGCUGAAGACCACAAAAGUAAGGAAGUAAGUGAAGGACUGAGGUUAGUAGAAGAUGUCUACAAAAGGCUAACAACUGAUGAUAUGAUGACGAGGUGCCUCAGAGGGAAGACUCAAAAUCCCAAUGAGUCAUUACACCACAGAAUAUGGCGCUACUGCUCAAAGCACAAAAAUGCCACGAAGGAAAUGCUGGACUUCGCAACUGCACAGGCGGUGUCCAACUUCAAUGGAGGAUAUCUUUCUAGCGACCUGUGCAGUAAGUUGGGAGUGGCCUUCACAGACAAGAACUACAAAUACCUUACAAAGGAAAACACCAAAAUGGACAGGCCGAUCAAGAAGAAGAUCAGAAGCAACCAGCUGCAAAAGGACCUGGAGGCAUAUGCAUCUGGUGCGCAUUAGCCAUGCAGCGACACUCCCAGAACUUCAGAGCCUCUUUUCUCAAAACAUAGAUACCAUGAUGAAACUUCGCCUCAUCAUUUACCAUAUGAUUACACACUUUGAGUAAAAUUUACAAAAGGC